rnacentral:rRNA from 1 species
AGCAGUGGGGAAUUUUGGACAAUGGGCGCAAGCCUGAUCCAGCAAUGCCGCGUGAGUGAAGAAGGCCUUCGGGUUGUAAAGCUCUUUUGUCAGAGAAGAAACGGUGAGAGCUAAUAUCUCUUGCUAAUGACGGUACCUGAAGAAUAAGCACCGGCUAACUACGUGCCAGCAGCCGCGGUAAUACGUAGGGUGCAAGCGUUAAUCGGAAUUACUGGGCGUAAAGCGUGCGCAGGCGGUUUUGUAAGUUUGUCGUGAAAGCCCUGGGCUCAACCUGGGAAUUGCGAUGAAGACUGCAAGGCUUGAAUCUGGCAGAGGGGGGUAGAAUUCCACGUGUAGCAGUGAAAUGCGUAGAGAUGUGGAGGAACACCGAUGGCGAAGGCAGCCCCCUGGGUCAAGAUUGACGCUCAUG